UACGUAGGUGGCGAGCGUUUUCCGGAAUUACUGGGUGUAAAGGGCGUGUAGGCGGAUUUUUAAGUCAGAUGCGAAAUUCCAGAGCUCAACUCUGGCGCUGCAUCUGAAACUGAGGAUCUUGAGUGCUGGAGAGGAAAGCGGAAUUCCUAGUGUAGCGGUGAAAUGCGUAGAGAUUAGGAGGAACACCAGUGGCGAAGGCGGCUUUCUGGACAGUAACUGACGCUGAGGCGCGAAAGCGUGGGGAGCAAACAGG
rnacentral:rRNA from 1 species